rnacentral:rRNA from 1 species
AGCAGAGAUGCUUUUGGUGCCUUUCGGGAACUCUGAGACAGGUGCUGCAUGGCUGUCGUCAGCUCGUGUUGUGAAAUGUUGGGUUAAGUCCCGCAACGAGCGCAACCCUUAUCUUUUGUUGCCAGCGGCUCGGCCGGGAACUCAAAGGAGACUGCCGGUGAUAAACCGGAGGAAGGUGGGGAUGACGUCAAGUCAUCAUGGCCCUUACGGCCAGGGCUACACACGUGCUACAAUGGCGCAUACAAAGAGAAGCGACCUCGCGAGAGCAAGCGGACCUCAUAAAGUGCGUCGUAGUCCGGAUUGGAGUCUGCAACUCGACUCCAUGAAGUCGGAAUCGCUAGUAGUCGUAGAUCAGAAUGCUACGGUGAAUACGUUCCCGGGCCUUGUACACACCGCCCGUCACACCAUGGGAGUGGGUUGCAAAAGAAGUAGGUAGCUUAACCUUCGGGAGGGCGCUUACCACUUUGUGAUUCAUGACUGGGGUGAAGUCGUAACAAGGUAGGCGUAGCGAG